GUAGCAAGAGGAAAAGAAAACGAAGUGAUUCCCUUAGUAGCGGCGAGCGAACUGGGAAGAGGCCAAACUAGAAUUUAUUCUAGGGUUGUAGGACAUUAAUAUGGACUUAAGAUUAAUAGCAGAAGUUGUUGGGAAGCAACGCCAUAGAAGGUGAUAGCCCCGUAUGCGAAAUUAGUUUUAUACCUAAAUGUAUCCUGAGUAGGGCGGGGCACGUGGAAUCCUGUCUGAAUCUGCCCAGACCAUUGGGUAAGCCUAAAUACUAACCAUUCUCCGAUAGUGGACCAGUACCGUGAGGGAAAGAUGAAAAGAACCCAGAGAUGGGAGUGAAAUAGACCAUGAAACCAUUAACUUACAAAGAGUCAGAGCCCGUUUAUGGGUGAUGGCGUGCGUUUUGAAGUAUGAGCCGGCGAGUUAUUGUAGCAUGCAAGGUUAAACUGUAGAAGUGGAGCCGUAGCGAAAGCGAAUCUGAACAGGGUGUUUAGUAUGUUGCAAUAGACCCGAAACGGAGUGAUCUAGCCAUGAACAGGUUGAAGUUUGGGUAAUACCAAAUGGAGGACCGAACCGACUUUCGUUGAAAUGACAGCGGAUGAUUUGUGGCUAGGGGUGAAAUUCCAAUCGAACUCCGUGAUAGCUGGUUCUCGUCGAAAUAGUUCUAGGACUAGCGUUAGAUUAUUGGUUUGUUGGGGGUAAAGCUCUGAAUUCAUGAUGGCGCGGCCUUCGUGUACUGAAUGAAAUUAAACUAUGAAUACCAACAAGCCUACUCUAGCAGUCAGACAGUGGGGGAUAAGCUUCAUUGUCACAAGGGAAAGAGCCCAGACCGUCGAAUAAGGUCCCGAAGUUAAACUAAGUGGAGAAGGAUGUUAAAACACUAAAACAGCUAGAAUGUUGGCUUAGAAGCAGCCAUCGUUUAAAGAGUGCGUAACAGCUCACUAGUCUAGUGUUUUUGCGCCGAAGGUGUAACGGGGCUAAGUUUAACACCGAAUUCGCGGGUUAUGUAUUUAAAAGUACAUAGCGGUAGACGAGUGUUGUAUACUGGAUGAAGCAUGAGUGUGAACACAUGUGGACGGUAUACAAGUAAGAAUGCCGGCGUGAGUAACGUAUGAAAGUGAAAAUCUUUCAAGCCGUAUUGACCAAGGUUUCCUGGGGCAGGGUCGUCCGCCCAGGGUGAGUCGGAACCUAAGAUGAGGCUGAAAAGCGUAGUCGAUGGACAAUGAGUUAAAAUUCUUAUACUAACAUAUUUGGCAAUGGAGUGACAGAAGAGGUUAGCACAAGCAGAUUAUUGGAUUUCUGUUUAAAUAUUUAGUGCAUAAAGUAGGCAAAUCCGCUUUAUUUCUUUUAAGAAAAGCAUGAUGUAUGAAUAGGAGCGAACACUAUUAGUAAGUAGCGAAGUUGUGUGACACCAUAUUCUCAAGAAAAGCUUCUAGUAUUAAACAAUUAUGUUAUCCGUACCAAGAACGAACACACGUGGUCAAGGAGAAUAUCCUAAGGCUAUCGAGUUAAUUACAGCUAAGGAACUCUGCAAAUUGAUCCCGUAAGUUAGCGAUAAGGGAUGCCUGCUAUUGUAGGUCACAGUAAAGAGCGAGGGGGGACUGUUUAUCAAAAACACAGCUUUAUGCUAAGGCGCAAGCCGAUGUAUAUGAGGUGACACCUGCCCAGUGCCAGAAGGUCAAUGAAGGGGGUUAGCAGCAAUGCGAAGCUCUUAACUUAAGCCCUGGUGAACGGCGGCCGUAACUAUAACGGUCCUAAGGUAGCGAAAUGCCUUGUCGGGUAAAUUCCGUCCCGCUUGAAUGGUGUAACCAUCUCUUGACUGUCUCGGCUGUAAGCUCGGUGAAAUCCUGGUGAGAGUGAAGACACUCUCUAGCCACUACGGGACGGAAAGACCCCAUGAAGCUUUACUGUAGCUUAAUAUUGAAAACGUCCAAUGGAUGUAGAGAAUAAGUGGGAGACUGUGAGACGAGUUCGCUAGAAUUCGUGGAGUCGAUCGUGGAAUACCACUCUUCUUUUGUAUUUUUUCUAACCUAUGCUGGUAAUCACGGCAAGAGAAAGUGUUAGGUGGGCAGUUUGACUGGGGCGGUCGCCUCCCAAAAGGUAACGGAGGCGCGCAAAGGUACCUUCAACACGGUUGGAAAUCGUGUUCUGAGCGUAAUGGUAUAAGGGUGCUUGACUGCGAGACUUACACGUCGAGCAGGUAGGAAACUAGGUCAUAGUGAUCCGGUGGUUCAGAAUGGAAUGGCCAUCGCUCAACGGAUAAAAGCUACUCUGGGGAUAACAGGCUGAUAGUGUCCAAGAGUUCACAUCGACGACACUGUUUGGCACCUCGAUGUCGACUCAUCUCAUCCUGGAGCUGAAGCAGGUUCCAAGGGUUCGGCUGUUCGCCGAUUAAAGAGAUACGUGAGUUGGGUUCAAACCGUCGUGAGACAGGUUGGUCCCUAUCUAUAGUGGCUGUAGGAAGAUUGCGAAGAUUUGACCUUAGUACGAGAGGACCGGGUUGAACAUACCUCUAGUGUACCAGUUGUCACGCCCGUGGCACGGCUGGGUAGUUAUGUAUGGCAUAGAUAAACGCUG
rnacentral:rRNA from 1 species